UGGAGGUUUUCCCAUAUAGUUCCUUGCAGAAUGUCUCAGCUUUACCAGCAGCCUCUGUGACCUCCCACCAGGAGCAUCUGAGAAUCUCACUGAUGAGGGAGCUCAGAGACGUUGGUGGACAAACCUGUUCUCAGGUUAUUCUCUCUCAGUCUGUGCCCUGCAGCCAUGUUUUCAGUUCCUCUUCUCCUCCUCUACCGUUUGCUGCUCCUCAUCGUCGGCCUCCUCUUUGUGCGUCACGUGGCCGUCCGUCCUGUUCGAAACGGUGCCGAGCAUCUGGGCGCUGUGCUGCUGCGCCUUGGCUCGCAGCGCCGCAAUGCUGUUCUCCCUCAGUUCCUCUCUGGAGAUCGGGGAGCCUGUGUCCUCCAUCCGUUUCUCCUCCUCGGCCUCCAUCACUUUGUCCACCGGCUUCUCCUGCAUUGGAGCGUGGGGGGACGUGCUGCAGGGUUUGCCCGGGGAAGUGUGCGGAGUAUCGACUGACUUCUUGUGCAUACCUGGAGGGGAGAGAUGGGAUUUAGAUGUUGGGUUCCUUGUCAUAAUUUUUGCAGCAGCUUACCGAGUAACCACGGUGCGUAGGACUCUGUGAUGCCGUCCUUGGCCGACUUGAGGAUGGACUCGGGCAGCGGGAUGGAGUGACGCACCAUGGCUCCGUACAGACCGUACUCGGCCAUCACGCUGCUGCGACCCCAGCACUUCUCCCUCUUCCUCCACUUGGCCCUGCGGUUCUGGAACCACACCUGGAGAAAUGAAGUUAUCAUUUCAUUUCAGGGCUGCGGUGCCGCCUCUCGCAGGGAAUGAGAGAAACACAAAGUGUCGUAUUUCUCACCGGAGCUGGAGUGUUGCGCAUCCAUCUGCGCCUCCAUGUGCACGGCUCUGUGCAGCGGCUGCAGGUGCACGUUCUGCGCCUCUGACAGCACCUCCAGAAAAGCGGGUUGACUGUAAAACGAGUGUAUUCCCUCCGGUCCCAGCAAACCCAUCCCGACCCCGAGCCCACCGUGACCGAGGGCCGACCUGGCCGCCAGCAGGUGCGCCCUGUGCGGCAGAGCCUCCAGCGGCCGCCGCGGCGCCGUCGGCGGCUCCUUGUUGAGGCCGAGCAGCUCCUGGAUCCCGAAGCCGGUGCGCCGGUGCACCGCGGGGGCCAUCUUCCACACCGGGAGCGGCUGCUGGGAUCCCCCGUGAUUCACGCUGCAGCCAGAGUCCCCGGUGCACUGAGCAGAGUGACGCUCCUGCUGCGCUUUUUAUCCAACAGGCAACAGGCGGCAGCCAAUCACAGCAGAGCAGAGACAACACACUGAAGUUUCCAUCACAAUCAUCCGAGCAUCAAAACAAACGUCUGGAAAUUAACGGAGACACAACUACUCUUUAUUUAUGUGCCCAUUGGUCACUAAGAUAUGAACUCUCCCCGAGUCUUUGACUGAUGAUAAACAGUGUCAUCUCUCACAGAUAGUGACCAUCAAACACUUGAUUUAGGUCUGGCUGCCGUGAAAACUGGGGAAAUGAGAUUUAAGCUGCUACUGGUUAUGGUUUCCACUCAGUGUUUUUGUUUAUAAA